AUCAUGAAAUUAAAACCAUAAAAAACUAGACAUCAAAACAAAACUAUGAAAAAAAAAUGGAGUUCAUUUAGAUCAUUUUUGAAUUUUUAAUGAAUUAAAUGAAAUGAGCAAAAUAAUUGGAAUAACAUGGAAAAUAUGGAGGGAAAUUAAAAUAUUUGAAUCAAAUCAGAGUAAAUCACAACCGCUGGAUAAGGCGCGCAUGGCAAUCAAACGGCUCACAUUCAAACAUCAAAGCGCUGCGUUUCAUUAAAC
rnacentral:lncRNA from 1 species